GUUUAAGCUUAUUCUGCAUUCCACUGUCUUGAUUCAUUGAAUCUGACCAAUGGGUUUACUGCAAUAUUCGUGAUUCUUUAGGGACGGGUUUUCUUUCGAUUCUUGAUUUGGGAGUCUCAGAUUUGGUUUUUUUUGUGUGUGUGGAUUCAAUCUUGGAGAUUCGGUGUUCUCGUUUCUUGUUUUGGCGGUGAAUUGGGGAAGAUAAAGGUAUAAGAUGCGGCGGCGGGCGGCCGAUCAUCGGCGCCCGGUUCGAAGGAGGCUAUCUUGUUGGAUCUGGUCGCUUCUUGGAAUAUUCUCAAUUGUAGGUUUCGUUUUGUUUGUAGUUCAUCAUCAUCAUGACCACGAGGAUCACGUAGAACAACCUGUUUUGGAAAGAGAGUCUAGGA
rnacentral:misc_RNA from 1 species